UGGGGAAUUUUGGACAAUGGGCGAAAGCCUGAUCCAGCAAUGCCGCGUGUGUGAAGAAGGCCUUCGGGUUGUAAAGCACUUUUGUCCGGAAAGAAAUCCUUGGCUCUAAUACAGUCGGGGGAUGACGGUACCGGAAGAAUAAGCACCGGCUAACUACGUGCCAGCAGCCGCGGUAAUACGUAGGGUGCAAGCGUUAAUCGGAAUUACUGGGCGUAAAGCGUGCGCAGGCGGUUUGCUAAGACCGAUGUGAAAUCCCCGGGCUCAACCUGGGAACUGCAUUGGUGACUGGCAGGCUAGAGUAUGGCAGAGGGGGGUAGAAUUCCACGUGUAGUAGUGAAAUGCGUAGAGAUGUGGAGGAAUACCGAUGGCGAAGGCAGCCCCCUGGGCCAAUACUGACGCUCAUGCACGAAAGCGUGGGGAGCAAACAGGAUUAGAUACCCUGGUAGUCCACGCCCUAAACGAUGUCAACUAGUUGUUGGGGAUUCAUUUCCUUAGUAACGUAGCUAACGCGUGAAGUUGACCGCCUGGGGAGUACGGUCGCAAGAUUAAAACUCAAAUGAAUUGACGGGGUCAUAGCUG
rnacentral:rRNA from 1 species